AUUGAACGCUGGCGGCAUGCCUAACACAUGCAAGUCGAACGGCAGCACGGCAGUAGCAAUACUGUGGGUGGCGAGUGGCGGACGGGUGAGGAAUACGUCGGAAUCUGCCCAAUCGUGGGGGAUAACUAACCGAAAGGUUAGCUAAUACCGCAUACGACCGAGAGGUGAAAGCGGGGGACCGCAAGGCCUCGCGCGAUUGGAUGAGCCGACGUCGGAUUAGCUUGUUGGUGGGGUAAAGGCCUACCAAGGCAACGAUCCGUAGCUGGUCUGAGAGGAUGAUCAGCCACACUGGAACUGAGACACGGUCCAGACUCCGUACGGGAGGCAGCAGGUGGGGAAUAUUGGACAAUGGGCGGAAGCCUGAUCCAGCAAUGCCGCGUGUGUGAAGA
rnacentral:rRNA from 1 species